GCGUCCGUGGCCGAGCAGCGAGGCCUGCGGCUGCAACCCGCAUCACCCCGGUGCAACUCCGGGCGGACGCUCCA
rnacentral:tRNA from 1 species